UCUAAAUGACAGCUUUCCUAAAAAUAUAUCCUAUUUCUAAAAUAAGAAAUAUCCCAAUCGCCUUGCUGACAGUAUCGCAAUGUAUUGCAACAUAUCAUAUCGCAACCCCUGUAUCGUGAUACGUAUCGCCUGAUUCUUGGCAAUACACAGCCCUAGUUUUUAUACUGUACAAACUGUACUUUCUAUCACCCUACACCAACGCUACCCCUUACAGGAAACUUUGUGCAUUUUUAAAAAACACUUAAUUCUGUAUGAUUUAUUACAUUUAUGCAUUUAGCAGACCCUUUUAUCCAAAGCGACUUACAAUGCUAACGCAAUGCGCUACCACUGAGCCACAGGAUGAUACAAAUCCCCAUGAGUCUGUGUAAAUUCAGGUUUAAAUCCCCACCAGGAUAUACAAACCUGUACACACACACACACACACACACACACACACACACACACAAACACACACACACACACACACAUUUUCAUGUUUUAUGAUGACAUCACAUAGGCGUAAUGGUUUUUAUACUGUACAAACUGUAUUUUCUAUCCCCUACCCAAACCUACCCCUCACACAAAACAUUUGACAUUUUUAGAUUUUCAAAAAACUUAAUUCCAUAUGAUUUAUAAGCUUGUUUCCUAAUGGGCACCAAAAAUUUCCCCACAAGGAUUUUGAAUAUUGCCAUAUCUGUGGCCCCAUAAGUUGUUGUUCCCUUCACUCAAGCCUCCUCCUCCUUCAAGUAAACACCUGUUUUCGCACACUGCCUCUCAGUGGUGUAAGCCCAAAAUACAUUUUUACGUCAAAGUGGUUACCAACCGCGGUUUCUGGACCCCUUUUGCACGUCUCCUUUGUCCGAAAACACACAUUUCAGGUCUUUGAAUCAUUGGGAACAACUAAUUAGACAACGGCUUAGUUGUUCAAGACUUUCAGUAGCCUAUCAGUAUUGACCUCAUCAGUGAGUGAUGAGACACACACUGACGGAAGGUGUAAUGAACACUUUCUUCUGACUCAUUAUUCUUAUUCUUCUCUCAUAUUUCCAGCUCCUGUGACUGUUCCUGUAAUCAGCAGUACCUCUUCAUCAGCAGCAGCAGUUGUGCCAAAAUGUGAACAUCUUAACAUCACUGAACUCUGUCAGACACAUGCAGAAGUUCACGUCUACGGUUGUGAUUCUACUGAAGCUGUGAUCCGAUUGGUGGUCACUGCUCUGAUGGGCGUGGCUGCUGCAGCGGCUGUUGUUCUUCUGGUCAAUGACGUCAGAGCUACACGAGGUUAAAAGAAAACAGAUAGACUUCAUAUACUAAAACAAAGCUUUGCUUACCAAUGCUCUCUUUUGGAUCGUAAAAGCUCCAUUACCUGAAUUGUUUCAAUAUGGUGUACAUCAGGGCCAUCUGGUGUCCAAAACGAUGAAUAUUCUUCAAUAUUUAAUUUUACUCUGCAGUGGCAUCUUUGGUUAAACUCCUUUCUUCUUCUUCUUCUUCUUCUUCUUCUUCUUCUUCUUAUUAUUAUUAUUAUCAUGCUUAUUUUUUUUAGCAAUACUACAAAUGAUUUGGAUGUAGCCUAAUUAUAAAUGUAGAAAUAUGUCAUGCCAAAUAAAGCACCUUCAACUGAAAACCA
ensembl:lncRNA